CCGGGCCCAGCCAUGUGCGUCCAGCCCCUCCCUGCUCGGGCUGCUCAGGGCCCCGCCUGCAGCCUUGGGCACCUCCUGCUUUGGGGCACGCACAGCAGUACAGGGCCUCGCUGCCCUCUGAGCAAACAAUUUCUUCUUUAUAUCUAACCUAAAACUACUUUUUUUUUUAAAUUUAAAACCAUUAUCCCUUGUCACGUUCCCUGCUGACGAGUCCCUCCCUGCUUUCUUAUAGGCACUACAGUGAGGUCUCCCAGAGCGUUCUCCAGGCUGCACGCCCCCAGCACUCCGCUGUCUCCAUGCAGAGAUCUCAACCCUAAGCAAAAAAAGACCCUGUUUAUAAGGGGAUUAGGAACAUGGCUUGACAACAGAAGGAUUUAUAACAACCGGGUGCUUGCAUCUGCAUCAGCAACAUCUUUCAUCUGUGUUCUAGUGCUUGGCAACCCUGCCCACAGCAAGGGAUGCUCCAGGUGCCAGCUGCUUGGCAAAAGGUGUUUUGGUUGACCGUGGGGGACACGAGCAAGAUGUAAAUCUCUGCAGACAGAGGAAGAUGGAGCCCAGCAAAGCAGUAUCAAGACAUCAGGCAGCAAUUGAAAAGGAGGAAAUUACAGGCCUUAAACACUUCCAGAAACAAAUUUCUGAUGUAAAUCUUCCUUUUGAAGAAAAAAAGAAAGAAAGAAAGAAAAAAAGCAAAAGAAAGGAGUGUUUCUAUACCUCCAUCACCCUUCUCCCCCUACUGUCCCCACUCCGGAGACACACACACCUUCACACACACACGCACUGAAAUUAGUUGUGACAGCUGAAAUUCUCUUCUCGUUGGACGAUGUUUGACAGGGUACUUAAAAAAAGAGAGGAGAAAAAAAAAGAAGAAAAA